UGUUGUCUCAAGCUUGCUGCC
rnacentral:miRNA from 3 species